rnacentral:rRNA from 1 species
AUGGCGAUCAGCAGCAGAGCAGCAGCCUGUGCCGCGCUCACCUUCCCGAGCACCGCCGCCGCCGCGCCACCCUCGAGCGUCUCCGUGAACCCGAGAGCUCAGCCAAGGAAGGCGAUGGCAGCCGUGGCGCGCGCGACCAGGGCUGGCGGCGCGGUGCUGGACCCGCCGGCCUUCGACCAGUCCCAGCUCGACACCCUUCCCCCAGCACAAGAAGGAGGAGACACGGGGAGGCUCAAGGACCGGAAGGGCACCGGCAGCGGCGACAGCUACAAGGUGCUGCUCCUAGACGACCCGCGCCACACCGAGAAGCACGUGGAGACGGCGUUGCCGCAGGUGGUGCCGUCCGUGACGGCCGAGGCGGCGCGGCAGCUCUUCCACGAGUCCCGGCAGAAAGGCGCCGCGAUGGUCAUCGUCGCCGUCAAGGAGCAUGCCGAGUUCUACGCGCAGAUGAUGGUUCGCCACGGGCUCCGAUCUGCCAUCGAGCCCGAAUCCGACAUGGCAGCUUAA